GACAGAGGGUGCAAACGUUGUUCGGAAUUACUGGGCGUAAAGCGCGUGUAGGCGGCCCUGCAAGUCGGAUGUGAAAUCCCACGGCUCAACCGUGGAAGUGCAUUCGAAACUGCAGGGCUAGAGUCCUGGAGAGGAAGGUGGAAUGCUGGUGUAGCGGUGAAAUGCGCAGAUAUCAGGAGGAACACCAAUUGCGAAGGCAGCUCGCUGGGACGUGACUGACGCUGAGACGCGAAAAGCGUGGGGGAGCAAACAGG
rnacentral:rRNA from 1 species